CCUACGGGCGGCAGCAGUGGGGAAUAUUGGACAAUGGGGGGAACCCUGAUCCAGCCAUGCCGCGUGUGUGAAGAAGGCCCUCGGGUUGUAAAGCACUUUCAGUGAGGAAGAACGCCUGGUGGUUAAUACCCAUCAGGAAAGACAUCACUCACAGAAGAAGCACCGGCUAACUCCGUGCCAGCAGCCGCGGUAAUACGGAGGGUGCGAGCGUUAAUCGGAAUUACUGGGCGUAAAGCGCGCGUAGGUGGCUUGAUAAGCCGGUUGUGAAAGCCCCGGGCUCAACCUGGGAACGGCAUCCGGAACUGUCAAGCUAGAGUGCAGGAGGGGAAGGUAGAAUUCCCGGUGUAGCGGUGAAAUGCGUAGAGAUCGGGAGGAAUACCAGUGGCGAAGGCGGCCUUCUGGACUGACACUGACACUGAGGUGCGAAAGCGUGGGUAGCAAACAGGAUUAGAUACCCUGGUAGUC
rnacentral:rRNA from 1 species